GGGAACUCCUGAUCUGUUGCUUCUUGAUUCAGUUUUGGCGGACAGUGAAUCUCUAGGAAGUUGUCCUCUCCUAUUUCUUGAGUAUUCCUUACUAAUAAAAUCACAGGAAAAAGGGAACUUCACUAAAUAACUUUACAAUUCAUUUUUAUUUUUUACUUUUAUGUAAAUGCUACAUUAGAUGUAAAAGGUCUUUAAAAGAUUAAAGUCAAUCUACCAACUAUUAAGCUUCCCUUAAAAAAAAAAAAGAAUCCAUAGUAGUAUUGCUAAAUAGGGGAGUCAAAUUUGCAGAAUAGAGAUUUCGGAUUUUUUUAAAGUCUAGUGACAUUUGAAAACUUUUUGCAACACCUAUAUAACACCUGGCUUGGCAAAACUAAUUGUUUGAAAAAGUGCCUUUUAAAAAAUGACAUCUUUGGAAAAAUGCAUAAGUGUGUGGGAUGGGGAGCAUCCAUAUCUGAUUAUCUUUAUAAAGCAAGUUCUUAAAAUGUGCAAAGCUCUUUACUACCAAAUAUGUUGCCACUUAUAUUAACCUCUCUCCUUUCGGCAGAUCAGCAAGCAAAGAGAAUGGACAUAAGGUGGCAGGAAGGAAUGGAAGAGUGACAACAAUGAAGGUGACUAGGAGCUUCUGUGACAAUGACUUAAUAACCCAGUUGAUGACUCCAGUCUCGAGACUUCCAGGCUGCAGAUGCAUGUGACAGCCUCCAAAUUACAGUAAGACCUGACAGCCCGUGGAACUACUGCUCCUUACAACGCACUUUGGAAGUGUUAGUCCAGUUCAAUGAGCACACUUCAAAAAUGAAGACAGUAAGGCCCAGAGAAGGUAAUAAAAUGGGCAACUGUUAAACAUACAUUCGUCUUCUGAACAGUGUUAUCCUGAGUCCAGGAGGAAGCUUUCAAAACAGAAGCCCAGCAUCACAAACCUUUCUCAGGACAGACUCUCUCUUCAGCCCCAGACUGGCUACUAAGGAAAAUGACUUUGGAACAAGGAAAGGUGGGGGCUGGUAGGAGCCAUCUCAGUCCUCUCUCAUCUCAUCUUAAUGUCAGGUGUUUGAAGGUGAUUCUUUCUCCAGGGACAGAUGAAGGGAAAUAAAAACUCACCACGAGAAACAGAGGGCUGAUAGCUACCCAGCAGAUCCUCCAAAACCAUCCAGGGCUGAAGCCAAGCAUUUCCUUCACAUCACUGCAGAACUGAGUGAUGCCUAAAAUCAUCAGAAAGAGAACACGAUUGACUGAGAGAAGAAAAAGACUAUCCUCCUAUCCCUUGACUCUCAGAGAACUCAGCAGCUCUGGAAUUUCUCCAAAGGAGGCACUCAGGGACACCAAUCUGGUCUGAAAGGCUGCACCUGCAGCAUACGGAAGUUCCCAG